rnacentral:snRNA from 1 species
UAAGAAGUCCUCCCUCAGAAUGGCAACUUGAUUGCUCUGUGUGCAGAAUUCACAUCAAGAGAUUUUGCAGGCAUAAGAUUUUGGUACCUGGGUAGCUAGUGAUCGUUGGUCCUGGUGUCCUA